AACUCGUUAACGUAUGGGGCCUCGGGGUUCAGGGAGACUGAGGGUAGCAGUCUGAGCACAGUGGAGACCCUCUGAGACCUGGGACCACAGGUCAGCGCGAACGCUCAAGGCGCCCCCUGGAGGCCACGCAGAAGUCCUCCAAAGGCGCCGGCUGGGUGCAGGCUGGGCGCGAAGUGCUCGGCUGGAGAGCCAGCAUGGCGCUGUCUGCCAGGGACCGGGCGAUGGUGCGGGCGCUGUGGAAGAAGCUGGGCGACAACGUUGGCGUCUACACGACCGAAGCCCUGGAGAGGACCUUCCUGGCCUUCCCUGGCACCAAAACGUACUUCCCUCAUUUGGACCUGAGUCCCGGCUCCGCCCAAGUUAAAGCUCACGGCCAAAAGGUGGCUGACGCGCUGACCCUUGCCGUAGAUCAGCUGGACGACCUGCCGGGCGCCUUGGCCUCUCUGAGCGACCUGCACGCACACAAGCUGCGUGUGGACCCAGCCAACUUCCAGAUCACACCCAGACUCCAACCACUUGACUCUUCAGACCGCCAACUCCUUCAUCAGGAAUCCUCCCAACCAGCAACUCACUGAUCUUGCUGCUCCACCCAACACCCUCACUCAGCUCUCCAAAGGGAAGCAACACCUCCUGACAUCAGACUCCAUCACUCCUGUCUCUGCUCAAAUGUCCCUCAGAAGCCUUUCCAUAUCAUCCUAGCCUAAAACAGCUAGUUAUCUACUUGCUGUCCACCCUCUUUCCCACUAAAUAAGAGUGUGGAUUUUACCACUG